AUGUGCCUCAGUGGUAGAGUUUUUGCUUAGCAUGCACAAGACUCUUGGUUCAAUUCCUAGCAU
rnacentral:tRNA from 1 species